UCUUAUAAAGAUUUUAUCCUCAAUUGUAAAAAUAUAUAUAUAUAUAUAUAUAUAAUUCCAAGAAAGUCAGAGGUUGUGAAUCCAACCAACUAAGGGAUAAUAUCUAUCCAGUAUAUGGCUGGUAGAAUACCCAAUUAUUAAUACACAAGUGUUUUUUCAUUACAUGGCAAUUACACUACUGAAUGUAAUAAAUGGGUGAGGGUAAAGAGUUGUUUUACCAUUAAUUUAUACAGCAAUAAAAAAAAUGGAGGGGAUCAAGAGGCGGUAUUCAUCAGCUUUUAGGCAUUAUAUUAUGUCUAUUCUGUGAUGUUUUUCUCAGUUCUGCUGGUUGCAGGUCAAUAUCAACAUUAUUUCGGCCAUCUUGGAAACAUGUGAACCACUCAUACACUUACGUGUGGCUCAGACACUCCUUUUCAUACACCCUCUGCAAAUUUGUGUAAGCCUCUGAGCAGGUAUCGCCAUGACAACUUUCUCUGUCGUGGUCAAUGCGAUGAUCACAUGCUACAUACCUUCCUUCCAAGCACCGCUGUAAACAGUGGUAGUGAGCUAGUAUGUUAAAACUUACUGUGCAUGCACAGCAGAGUUCAAGGUCAAUCUGUGCCAAGCGGUUUAACUUUGCAUGCUUUAGCUUCGUUACUAUGGCAACAGUCCGGAUACUUAUUGAUCAGACCUCGUAUAUAGUUUACUUUCCCGUUAAGGUAAGAUCAACAAAAAAAGCAUUGCAUCUGGUGAGAGAUGAAAAUAUUUCAAUGUACUCAGUAUAUAGUUAUGAGCUACUAAUAGUUUCAUACACUGAAGAUGUGGUCUAGGCAGGUUUUUAUAACAUGAAUAGUGUCUCCAAGCAAUAUUCAGAAACUUAGAAUGUGGCCUGUAGAAGUUGCAUGGCCUAUACAAGUUAAUUUGUAGAGGCCAUUUGCUCAGCAUCUGAAGAUUGCUUGAAGAUACUAGGUGUGUUAUAAAAACCUGCCUAGGCUAUAUCUCCAAUGUAUGAACUAUCAGCAGCUCAUAACUAUCUUUUACUGGUUUCACUCAUUGGACUGCAGCCAUGCUGAGGCACCUUCCUGAAUUGUUUAAUCAAACAAAUCAAUCCCAAUACAUAUUUCUUAACCCUUUAGCAUUUAAACCGGCCAUAUCCAGCCAAAAGCAUUCUGCCUGUUUUAUGUUCAAACUGGCCAGAUCUGGUCUCUCACACCAACCAUACAAUAUCAUCUUAAAAAUUAACAGCUACCUCAUCAAAAUCUCAUAGCUACAAGAUAAUGCAUGAUUAAUUCAAGGCAAUGAGGAUAAAAAAGGAUUAAUUUUGGCAGAAUAAUGCGAACACUAAUGGGUUAAAGCUGGUACUUAUUCUGUUGAAUUCUUUUGCUGGACCAGUAAGUCACAGGGAUGUAAACAAACCAACACCAGUUGUCAAGUGUGGUGGUGGUGGUGGUGGUGGGGACAAACAUAUACAAAGACACACACGACCCUCUGAGAGAGAGAGAGUGAAACCCUUUAUUGCCAACAAAAGUAAUAGCUUCAUAAACCACUUUCACUCCUUUAUCAUACUCUAAUUAAUAUGCUUAUCUACUUCUACCUGUAAUUAGUCUAAUAAUUACUUUAUGAAUUGUCUAAAACAGACAAGAUUGUUAAUAACAAAACGAAUAAAGCAUGGAAGACAAAUAUUAGCCAUUUAAAGACGCACACAAAAGCUGUCAACUUAAACAUUAUUUGGUCAGGAGUGGAGGCGCAAUGGCCCAGUGGUUAGGGCAGCGGACUCGCGGUCAUAGGAUCGCGGUGUUGAUUCCCAGACCGGGCGUUGUGAGUGUUUAUUGAGCGAAAACACCUAAAGCUCCACGAGGCUCCGGCAGGGGAUGGUGGUGAUCCCUGCUGUACUCUUUCACCACAACUUUCUCUCACUCUUACUUCCUGUUUCUGUUGUACCUGUAUUUCAAAGGGCCGGCCUUGUCACUCUCUGUGUCACGCUGAAUAUCCCCGAGAACUACGUUAAGGGUACACGUGUCUGUGGAGUGGUCAGCCACUUACACGUUAAUUUCACGAGCAGGCUGUUCCGUUGAUUCGGAUCAACCGGAACCCUCGUCGUCGUAACCAACGGAGUGCUUCCAUUUGGUCAGGAAGGCAUUUUUCAGUAAGAUAUUCUGGACCAGGUCACAGCGAGUAUGAUAAAAAAUUUUAUAUUAAGCAAUAAAUGCUAACAGUCUCUGUGUGUCUUUGAAUGGCUAAUGUAUAUAUAUAUAUCUCUCUCUAUAUAAACGGCAGUUUGUCUGUGCGUGUUUCUGUGUGUCUGUUUUCUCGUACCCUCACCCUGACCACGGCUUUCAACCGAUUCUGAUGAAACUUGACACACACAUAGCCCAAUGUCAUAAUUCAAAACUAACGCAGCGAAAAUUUUGAAAAGUUCCCCCAGUUCUGAAAAAAAUCGAUAAAUUCGACAUGGGGUCGAGAAUGAGAAACCCAAACCACAGACCGUCUAGGGGACGCAACUCCACCUGUUUUAACUCUCAAAAAAAAUUUACCAUCAUUUUUUUUCCAUUUUUUUGCUAUUUUUUGGCUAUAACUCUCUAAAAAUGCUUUAUAGUUAUUUCCCUUACAAACCUGAGCAACGCCGGGCGAUACUGCUAGUAUAUAUAUAUAUAUCUUCCAAACUGUAACUGUUUUAGUUUCAAUACUCAGUCUCAGAUGAAAUCACUUACCACACAAAUACAUCUCUGAAAUAUUAACAGCAUAAUUUUCCAAAUUAUCAAUCUCUUUACAAUGUUUACAGCUUUUAAAUAUUUACCAAUUUCAUAUCUACACUCCAUUGCCAUCGAUUCAAAUCUCUAAUCGUCAUCUUUACUCUGUAUAAUAUAUCUACACAAUGUUCUAAUUAGUUUUAUCUUCAAUUAUCAUCGUUCCAGAGUAUAUUUACAAUAUUUAUAGCAAGAACACUUCCAGAUAAAUUGAUCAUUGAUCUCCACACAUCAUUCUGUUCCCAAAUGAGUAUAUGACUUCUGUUCCCAAAUGAGUAUACGAUCUCUGUUCCCCGGCAAAAGUUUGUCAUAAGAUUUAAAGUUCUGAACAUAUGGCCUAGUCUUCUUUUCAGUUUCAGAAUUAAAAAAAAAUAAUAAUAAUAAUAAUAAUAAAAAAUUAUAUUUAUUAUUAUGUGAAAAUGCCACUAAGCACUUUGCUUCUGUCUGUAUUAUGUUCUGAGUUCCAAUUCCACUGAGGUCUACUUCACCCUUCAUCCUUUCAGAGUUGGUAAAGUAACUACAAGUUGAGCACCAGGAUCGAUGUGACUUACCCACUCCCCCGAUCUUGCUGGCCUUGUGCCAAAAUUUGAAACUAUUAUUAUUAUUAUUAUUAUUAUUACUAAUGUGGCAAGCUGACAUAAUCCUUAGCACAUCAGGCAAAGUCCUUAGUGGUAUGUUGUCCAUCUUUACCUUCUGAGUUCAAAUCUGCCGAGGUUGACUUUGCCUCUCAUCCUUUCGGGGUUGAUAAAACAAGUACCAGUUAUACACUGGGGUUGAUGCCAUCAACUUAUCUCAACCCUGAAAUUGCUGGCCUUGUGCCAAAAUUUGAAACCAUUUUUAUAAGUAGUAGUAUUCUUCUCCAAGGGUUUCAUACAAAUUUCUACCACACCACGUGGUGCACUUCCAUGUUCCUGAGCUUAGUGUUUUUAUUUUUGUGGGGGUUUGCCGAGUAUAACCCCUCCUGUUGGCAUGCUGUGUCAGUUAGUUUUCUUAUAAAGUUGAGUUUACAUUUCCUUAUGUUUGUUCUCUUCUGCAUGGUAUGUGUAAUGUUGGUUGUCUUAUUGGGUAUUGAAUCUUGUAAAGUAUUUGGUGCACAAACUGUGUUGCUUUAAAUUAUCAGCUGCUUUUUGUGUAGGGCAGUGCUUUUCAAACUUUUUGCUGGAGCGGAACCCCAAGGAAACAUUCCACUGGCUCGAGGAACCCCUGUGCAAUAAUUUAAGUCUUAUGCACACAUAUCUGCACAGGAAACUUUAAAAUUACUGCCGAUUUUAGCAGUUUUGUAACUUCUUGCGGAACCCCUGGACUGUACUGGCGGAACCCUGGUUGAAAACCACUGGUGUAGGGUAUGGUCUGUGUGUGAAGAUUUUUAUGUUUGAGCUAAUUUAUCGAAUUGGUAGUAUCUUGAUCAAAAUAUCAGCUGUUCCUAGCAGAGCUAUUUGCUGUUACCAGUUUGCCCAUCUUAACAUUCUGAGUUCAAAUUCCGCUGAGGUCAACUUUGUCUUUCAUUCUUCCAGGGGUCAAUAAAAUAAAUAUCAAUCAAGUACUGGGGUUGAUGAAAUCAACUUGCUCUCGCCCUCAAAUUUAAGUUUUCUGCCUAUAGUAGAAAGGAUUAUUAUUAUUAUUAAUAUCCCAUUAAGGGUCCAAGUACUCUUCUAUAAUGGAGCUUUUCUCUAGUUGUUAACAAGAAUAAAUUUAUUUACUAAACAUUUCUGUCAGUAAUUUUUCAACCCAUUCAUAACCGUAUUUUGUUGGAAUACACUGUGUUGCAUUUUAAGUAAUUUUUCCUAAAAUAAUGAAGAAUUUAGUUCAAAAUAAUUUGUCAUUAUUAAGGUAUUGUAAGGCAGUGAGGUGGCAGAAUCGUUACCAUGUUGGGUAAAACGCUUAGCAGUAUUCUGUCUGCCUUUACAUUCUGAGCUCAAAUUCUGCCAAGGUCGACUUUGCCUUUCACCCUUUCGGGACCAAUGAGUACCAGUGGAGCACUGGGGUUGAUAUAAUUGACUGUCCCCCUCCCCCAAAUUUCAGGCUAUGUGUCUGUAGUUGAAAGGAUUAUUAUUAUUAAGGCAGUGAGCUAGCAGGAUCGUUAACAUGUUGAGUAGAAUUUCAUGUCUUAACAUUCUGAGUUCAAAUUCCGCUAAGGUCAACUUUGCUUUUCCUCCUUUUGGGGUCGAUAAGAUAAGUACUAGUUGGGACACUGGAGUCGGUGUGAUUGACUUACCCCUCCACCAAAAUUGCUGGCCUUGUGCCAAAAUUUGAAACCCUUAUAAAUAAUGGCUGCUGUUGUUAGGAACAUAAACUGACAGUGUUCAUUUCAGAUCUCAUUACAAGAGGUUUGUAUCUUGGAAUUAGGGUUGAAGUGGAUUAGCAUCAAAAGGGUUGAAAUAAUCUGUUCCUUUUGCUUCAUUUUUGCAUAACAUGGGGAGUGCGGAAGGGGCUUUGUAAAAGACCAAUUUUGCAAAAGACUGGCUUUGAACUUCAAAGGGUUGGGAAUCUUUGCAAUAAAACAAUUCAAAGCCUGUAGGACUGUGCUGUUGAUUGCAAUAGUAGUAGAGGUCAUUUCUGGAUUCAAUGGAUAAUGUAAUGGAAGUGAGUGUAUGUGGCAUAUAUUCAUACAUAUGUAUGUAUGUAUACAUGUAUGUAAGCGUGCAUGUGUGUGUGUGUGUGUAUAAUGUGAGUGCUUGUGGUGAAUAUACAUGUGUUUGUGUGGUGCCAUAUGUUCUCAGCCAAUAACGUGCCAAAUAUAUUCUGUUCAUUCAUGUGUGUAUAUGUGUGUGUACACACAUGCUAGCUUGUGUGUGUGUGUACACACAUGCUAGUUUGUGUGUGUGUGUGUGCAUGAGUACUGAUGUCUGCAUGUGUAUAUGCAUGGAUCUUGUGUGUGUGUGUAUGUGUACAUGAACACUGAUGUCUGUAUGUGUGUAUAUGUAUAUGUAUGGAUGUUGCGUGUGUGUGCAUGAACACUGAUGUCUGCAUGUGUGUAUGUAUGUGUAAUGUAUAUAUGUAUGGAUGUUGUGUGUGUGUGCAUGAACACUGAUGUCUGCAUGUGUGUAUGUAUGUGUAAUGUAUAUAUGUAUGGAUGUUGUGUGUGUGUGUGUACAUGAACACUGAUGUCUGUAUGUGUGUAUGUGUAUAUGUAUGGAUGUUGUGUGUGUGUAUGUGUGCAUGAACACUGAUGUGUGUAUGUGUAUAUGUAUGAAUGUUGUGUGUGUGUGUGUGUGUGUAUGUGUGCAUGAACACUGAAGUCUGUAUGUGUAUAUGUAUGGAUGCUGUGUGUGUGUGUGUGCAUGAACACUGAUGUGAGUAUGUGUAUAUGCAUGGAUGUUGUGUGUGUGUGUGUGUGUGUGUGUGUGUGAACACUGAUGUGUGUAUGUGUAUAUGCAUGGAUGUUGUGUGUGUGUGUGUGUGCAUAGGUGUUACCAUUCUCAAUCAGUAGUGUGCCAAAUAUAUUUGGUUCAUUCAUUUAUUCAUGUGUGAGUGUGUGUGUAUGUGUAUGUGUGAAUGUGUAUGUGUAUGCUUAUUUAUUCAUGUGUGCAUGUCCUUCCUGCCCCCCCUAUCCUAUUGAUCAUGUUCUUUCUUUCUUUCUUUCUUUCUUCAUUCUCUUCUCUUCUUGUUUCGUUUUUGUUUUCUGCUUCAGGAGUCCAGCGUUUUGUGCCCGAUGAGUUGUCAAAGACACAGGGAAAGUGGACCGAUUCUAUUUUACUUCGCAUCAAAGACAAAAACAGAAGUCUGCCAACUACAUAAAACAACAACAAAGAAGACCAAAAAAAAAACAAUAAAAACAAUAAAAAAUGAAUAACAAAAGAAAAGAAAAGCAAUGUUUGGCUGUUUUUGUUGUUGUUGUUGUGGUCCAUUAGAUGUAGAAUUACGAGGAUGGGAAACCUAGCAUAAAAGAACUUAGAUCCAGCUGUCUGUCUGCAGAAAUCAAGGAAUCGAUUUCUUCCAAACGUUUUAUUAUCUGGCACCAAACCCACCUUAAUGGCCAAGGUUAAUUAGCUAUAAAUAAAUAAGUAAAUGUGUGUGUGUGUGUGUGUGUGUGUGUGUAUAUAUAUAUAUAUGUGUAUAUAAUAUCAUCUAAUGAGAUUUAGUUUUUUCACACACACACUUUUACAUAUACGUUCAUUUACACUGAAACACAUAUACAAGCACUUGCAUGCACAUGCACACACACACACACACACACACACACACACACAUACACACACACACACAUACAUACACAUACACACGCAAAGGCAUCUAAGCUCCUUUGUUUGACAAGUAGCAAACAAAUUCUAACUGCAUUCCUGUGGUGGCCCCAACAUUUCAAAGAAAGGUCAAUUAGGAGGGCCUGAUUUUAAAGUUUCACACCAACACUUUUAUAUAUAUAUAUAUAUAUAUACAUAUAAAUAGAUAGAUAGAUAGAUAGAUAGAUAGAUAGAUAGAUAGAUAGAUAGAUAGAUAGAUAGAUAGAUAGAUAGACAGAUAGAUAGACAGACAGAUAGAUAGGCAGACAGAUAUAUAUACAUAUAUAUAUAUAUAUAUAUAUAUAUAUAUAUACACACACACACAUACAUACAGAUAUAUAUAGAUAUAUAUACAUACAUAGAUACAUACAUAUAUAUAUUUGUUUAUUUUUGUUGGUUCUUUGUUCUCUUUCACUCUCUCUCUCUCUCUCUCUCCUUAUUUAUUUCUGUAUUUUUUUGUUUUUGUAUAUUUUUACACUCUCGUUUUCAUUAGUUAUUAAUUUCUUUUACUUUCAUUGUGGGCCGAUCCACUGACCAUGUUGGACAUUACAUUUUAGCUUAUUGAAUGGACGGACGAUGUAGUGGGGGGGAAAAAACAGAAGCAAAAUAAAAAAAAAAAACAAACAUAUAAUAAUAAUAAUAAUAAUAAUAAUAAUAACAAUAAUAAUAAUAAUAAUAAUAAUAAUAAUAAUAAUAAUAAUAAUAAUAAUAAUAAUAAUAAUAGGCUAUAAACAUUAUACAAAAAUAACAGCUAACAAAAAAUGCAAUAAAAACAAAAUAUUUAAAAUAUGGAAUUUCUGUAAGAUAUUCCUUGGUUCUUCUGAUAAUAAAACAAGACAGAAAUAAUUUAGAGGAUGGAAUGUUUUGGAAGGGAAAAUUGAAGAAGGAAUGUAAAAUAUAUUGGUAAAAUUUGCAGCUCAUUUGUUCAUUGGUCUGAUGUGUCUCAAAAGCUGACAGGCAUUAAAGAAAAUAUUUUUCAAAAAUCCCCUCAAAAUCUUGACAAAAAACAUUAAAAAAGCCAUAAUGGACUCUGAAUUAAUAUGGCUGAACUAUCUUUAGAAUUUGUCAACUGACUGGACGUCUUGGAGUUUGUAUUUCUUAACUUUUUUACUGAGAUUCUUUUAAUGUAUUUUUUUUGGUAAAUUCUUUAGGAGUUUUCUCCUGUUAUAUGUAUAUUUGUUUUUUGUUUUCUUUUUUGUUCUAUUUUGUUUUUAUUUUCAUGUGGUUCUUUGGCUCAAGUUUUGGAUUUUGUCUUCUGCUUUUAAAAUUACAUUAUUAAUAUUUCAAUUUGAUUACUUUUUUAUAUUUAUUCUUUCUUUUUUUUCUUUCUUUUAUACAUUUCUUCAUCGCUGUUGUUUCUUUCGCAUCUUCCUUCCCCACCCCCUUCUCCAUUUUUCUUUCACAUUUUCAGAUAUUUUCAAACCUGGCUCUAAAAGAAAAUUUUAUAUCAGCGAAAAAGACAUUUUCUUUCUUAUGUAUUCAAAUCUAUAUUUUUAAAAAAAAUUCAACUAUAUUUUGUAUUUAUCUUUUGUAUCUUCUUUUUGAUAUUUAAAUUUUAUAGUUUUCACCUUAUCUUAUUUUUGCUUUUUUAUAGUGUUGUUGUUUGCCAUUUUCUAUGUAAUUUAAAGACAUAUAUUCCAGAACAUUCUAGUGGACUUGAUUAGAAUAUUGAGAAGAUGCAAAUUUUCUAUGUCUUUAUGACUCAUCCCAUUUGAAUGAUUGAGUUCUUUUUCAUUUCAUGGCUGAAGCAAAAUGGAUGAAUUUAUAUUUUCAUUGACCAAAAUUGACUAUUUCAUCAUGGAAUUAGAGAAUUCCUCAUAUUUAACGAGGGAAUUUCCAUUCUCCCCCGUUUUCCCCUCCUCUGCAAAAUGUAUAAAUUUUCUCUGGAAAAAUUUGACUCUUUUAAUAUAAAACUGUCUGGUUGAAUUUGAAGCAAAAUCACAACCCAAAUUUCAUUACAAUGUGAAUGACAACAUGAGAUUUUAGAUGGCCAUCUUCAAGAUAAUAAAUACGUUUAUAUAAGAUUAUAGAUAUUUUACUUACUGCUUUUGCAUUUAAACCAGCCAUAUCCAGCCCAAAUAUUCCAUUUUAUGGUCAAACAGGCCAUAUCCAGCCUUUCACACCUACCCUACAAUGUCAUUCUAAAAGUAAUCAUGCCACUGGAAUCACCACAGCUAUGAGAUGAAGCAUGAUUAAUUCACAACAAUGUGAAAAUAAAAGCAUUACAUUUGACAGAGUAAUUUGAAUGCUAAAGGGUAAGACCCCUUCCAAAUAUCAUGAUUAUAUCGAAAAUUGGAGCAUUCCGGGAUUCUUCUUUGAAAUAUAAUCACCAAAGAAUUUAUUACAGUUUCUUCUUAUUCAAUGAAAUUUGGCUCUUUGAGAUUAAACAGUAAACCUGUUAAAAAUGGAGCCUGAAAUUUCUGUUCAGACAGGUGUAAUCAUAGCUGUUAAUUUUAUCAUCAUUGUUGGUAAUAUUCUUAUAAUUCUUGUACUUUGCAACACGAAUUGCCUUCACAAUGUCAACAAACUGUUUUUCUAUUCACUGACUUUUGCUGACCUCUGUCUAGGACUUUUCAUAACUCCAUUUUCCAUCCUCACCUCCUUUUUUGGCCAAUGGGUGUAUGGUGACAACAGAUUUUGUCAAAUUGAAGCGUAUCUUACUACUAUAUUCUGGAUCGCUGGCCUGUAUUCACUGAUGUGCAUCAAUGUUGACCACUACAUUGCUAUUCGUAGACCAGAGCGGUACAAUACACUCAUGUCUCCAGUACGCUGUAUCUGUUGGACAGUUUUCGUGUGGUUUUCAGCUUUCAGCUUCUGCUGUCCUCCGCUCUUUGCACUACAUCGUGCGCGAUACGACGAGGAAGCCUUCAUGUGCAUCAUCGACACCAGGCUCCAAUUGGCCUACUUCAUCACAGCAGGACUCAUCAUGACCUGUCCACCGAUAUUUGGGCUGAUCUACACCAUUUCCUACCUGUGCUCCUCUUCCUUCAGAAAGAAACGAGAGGUCUAUGAGACAAUCCUUCAAGACCGAGCGUCUCGACCAUGGAAUUACUUCAUGAACUCUGUAGCAUCUGUAAUAUUCACCUUGGCAUGGAUCCCAUGGUGCGUUUUACAAGUGCACGAUAUUAUUUAUAGUAGGAACCAAAAUGGAUACAGGAGCCCUUUGCAUUUUUACUUGUUGUGGCUUGCCAUCGGGAACUCAUUCUACAAGUUUUUCAUCUAUAUAACAAUGAGUCGUGAGUUUCGUAUGGGUCUGCGGCAACUGUGGAGCAAACCUGACUGCUCGUGUUCAGCUUCCAGAAUACAGGAGCAAGAAUCAAACGUUAUAACUUUAGACACAAAAAUGAGGAACAGAUCAACUAUGGAUGUCUAGAAAUCUAUAAAAAAAAAAUGCACCAUAAUACAGUUCACAAAACUUAUUUUCCAAAUUUUUUUCACUGUUGUACAUCCAUAUGGGAUGAUUUAUUCUGUUGGAACAUUUGUUUAAAUAUCUGGAUAAUGCCCUUCUGAUUGCUAGCUAAACACUCAACCAUGACUUAAGAACUUGGAAUCUAAUACAUAUUGUGGUUCACUCUGUCCAGAUGAAGCAAAUGGAGGUGAUAUGCCUUGUACAGAGGCACAAUGUAAUGGCUGGAGUUAAGGUUUGAAAUUCUGACCUUGUUGUUUAUAUGGCCAAUCCUUUAACCUUAUAUCUAUUUUGUGUGAAUGAGUAAAUACUAGUACAACACAAAUUUCCUGAACUCUUAUAAUCUGCUCUAAUGAGUAGGAACUUCAGGUUCCCACUACCACCAAAUUAGUUUACAAGUAUCUUGAUACAAUUUGUAUCAUUAAUACAUGUGUACAGAUAACUGGAUUCCAUUUAAUUAUUUAAGUAAAUUUAAUAUUUGAUUAAUUUAAAGUGUAAUGACCAGGGUGACCACCUCUGGUUUGGAAAAAUCAGUAAUUUAGGAAGGUUCCAGAAGAAUAAUGCACCUGUAUCUCACUGUAGAGUUGUUACUGAACUGUGUCUCUAGGGAUCAGAAGGAACCACAGUCAUUGAGGGCUUUUCACUACUUUUGGGUUUAUAUUUCUGGACUUGGCCCUCUGCUCUACAGCCAACAAGGGAAUCUCUAUACCAGUCGUGGACAACUUGCAACCUGUGGGCAGCAUGCGGCCAUGAGGGAACUUUAGAUGGGGGAUGUUAGUCAUGUCCGUUGAGGGAGGGAAAAUGACUAACGCAAAGUUACCAUGAACAUUUUUAGGAUGAGUCAUGUUUCAUAUGAUCCACUUCUCAAAAAAGGUCAUCCAUGCCUGCUCCAUAUUGUUACUCAACCUGUUAGAAACAGCAGCUAAACCUUCUUCAAAUCACAGCUUAUUAUCUUAAAAAUGAAAAAGACACAUUAUAUAAUGUUGUCCUUCAUACCACCAGUUUAAAAAAGAUGAGAUGGUCAUGGCUGGAAUGCCAUUGUCUUGAGGUUUGGUGACAGCAAAUCACCUCAAAUCUCAAGAAUCUUUCUUAAGAUCCUUGCAGAAUACAGGUCAGUACUUUUCUGCAUGUCUUAUUUCCAAUAUAGGUCCACAGUGUCAGGAUUAAUUAGGCAGGGUGAUGGGGUCACACAUCAUCAACAACUAAGCCAGGGCUUCUCAUUGGUUUAUAUAACAUUAAGUGGAUAACUUUGCAGGUAACUCUCAUCUUGGGAUGAUGUGUUUUUGGCAAUGCAAACCAAGGAAGCGUUCAUUCAAUUCUUCAAUGUUUCCACUGUGUAUAGUAGCAUAUACGAAUCAUUCCUGUGCCUUGUGGUGCUUAUUUUCUUCCUUAGGCUCUCAACUGCUGAUGGAGUUCUAGGGGCAUUAUCAAAGUAUAGUGUAUCUGGGGUAUUUUAAAGUUGGCUGAGCCUAUUCCUCUUUCGGGACCCUGGUUCCUACAUGAUUGUUUUUUUUUCUAGGGAGAGAGCAAGAGAAAAUGAGAAAGUUAAGGAGAAUGAGAGGGGAACCAACCCCUGUAUUUUUGCUGGGUGUGCGCUGCACACCUAGCAAAAAUGGCAAAUUCAUAAUAAAUAUUUUCUUACUCGUUAAUUUAAUUACAAAUCUUAAUGGAAAACUUUUGUUAUACUCCUGCUUGAAAUUUGGUGGCAUUGGGUGUGGCAGCAUAUUCAAUACAACAACCACCAUACACCACUGAUGUUAACACAUGUACACAUCUAUAUCUAGGUAAAUGAAUGUGUGUGUACAUUCAGUUUUAUCGUUAUAUUUAACCCUUUAGUGUUUAAACUGGCCAUAUCCGGCUGAAGUUUUCUACCUAUUUUAUGUUUAGACUGACCAGAUCAGGCCUCUCACACCUAACCUACAUUGACAUUCUAAAAAUGAACAAUCACGUCAUUGAAACCUCAAAGCUAUAAGAUAAUGAAUGAUUAAUUAAAAACAAUUUGAGUGAAAAAGUAUUACAUUUAACAGAGUAAUCUGAACACUAAAGGGUUAAUAAACAUUUAGUCUUGCUGUGUGUACGUGUGUGUGUGAGGGAUGAGCAUGCUUACAUGAUGUAUGUGGUUUUUCUGUGUAUUCCUUUGAUGUCCUUCUGUGCAAAUUUGCACUCCUGUGUCAUCAUCAGCGUUUAACGUUCGCUUUCCAUGCUAGCAUGGGUUGGACGGUUUGACUGAGGUGAGCGAGCUGGCAGAAACGUUAGCACGCCGGGCGAAAUGCAUAGCCGUAGUUCGUCUGCCGUUACGUUCUGAGUUCAAAUUCCGCCGAGGUCGAUUUUGCCUUUCAUCCCUUCGGGGUCAAUUAAAUAAGUACCAGUUACACACUGGGGUCGAUAUAAUCGACUUAAUCCGUUUGUCUGUCCUCGUUUGUCCCUUUGUGGGUAGUAAAGAAAUAGGUUUGACCGAGGACCUGCAAGCCAGAAGGCUGCACCAGGCUCCAAUCUGAUCCACCAAAGUUUCUACAGCUGGAUGCCCUUCCUAAUGCCAACCACUCUGAGAGUGUAGUGGGUGCUUUUAUGUGCCACCGGACAGGGGCCAGUCAGGCGGUUCUGGCAACAGUCAUGUUCAAAUGGGGUUUUUUACAUGCCACCUGCACAGGAGCCAGUCCAGCAGCACUGGCAACAACCAUGCUCAAAUGUUGUUUUUCACAUGCCACUGGCACAGGUACCAGUAAGGUGAUGCUGGUAACGAUCAUGCUCAAAUGGUGCUUUUUAUGUGCCACUGGCAAGGGAGUCAGUCAUUGGCCCUGGUAACAAUCACGCUCGGAUGGUGCUUUUAAUGUUCCACUGGCACAGUUACCAUAUAUAUAUAUAUAUAUAUAUAUAUAUAUAUAUACACACACACAGACAUGUACACAUGACCAUUGUAUUCUGUGAUUUCAUUAAAUGGUUCAGUUAUUAUUUUUCAAUGCUUGGAGCUUUGGUCAAUGAUAAUGAGGAAUAGUUUAUUCAGUAAAAUACUUUCCUACUGUCCACCCCUCCUCAUUUCUAUUUGGUUCAAUCCAUUGUCUGGGUUUAAAACCACCACUUGACUUUUGUGCUUUUAACAGAGCUCACUCUCUUACAAGCAUUUAGCUCAACCCUUUUGUCUGACAGUCUGAGGGUAACUUUUCCCUAUUGCCAAUACUGUACAGGGUGUUCAUAAAUUACUUUUAUAACUUCCACAGCAAAUUGAAUCUAUUAACGUUGAGAUCCAUCGAUAUACUUCUUUGCAUGUUAAAUAAAGAUUAUUAAAAUUUUAAUAUUGUUUUAAUAUUUGAAUUACUUUCGUUAAUCUUUAAAGGUGUUUAUUAUUAUCCCUGACUUAUAAGUUUCCUAACUGUAAAGGUAAUUUAUGGACAUCCAGUAUAAUAUAGUAAACUAGCAGUAUCGCCCGGCGUUGCUCGGGUUUGUAAGGGAAAUAACUAUAAAGCAUUUUUAGAGAGUUAUAGCCAAAAAAUAGCAAAAAAAUAGCAAAAAAAUACAUUAAAAAUGGAAAAAAAAUUAUGGUAAAUUUUUUUUUAAAUCGUUGACUCAUCGUAGACAUUUUUAGAGAGUUACUUCCCUUAUAUAAUAGCGAAAAAAUGCAUUAAAAUGGAAAAAAAUUAUGGUAAAUUAUUUUUAAAAUUGUAGACUCAUCGUAGAUGUGCGCUAAUACCCAGAAGGGCUCGAUAUGAAUCACGACUAUAAGAUACCCGGUUUUGGUUAAACUGCACUGCAAAAUGUGGGAGUAGUUAGGAAUCUAAAUCGUAGGAGACAGACACACAACUUCUCUUUUAUAUAUAAAGAUAUAAUGUGAUAUAAUGAUAUAAUAUAAGACGAUAUUAUAAUAUAGUGUAUCUGUGUCUGUGUGCAUAGCUGUGAUUGGUGUGCUUAUUCAUCUAAGCAAUGAGAGUGUCAAGGCACAACUAAAAUCAGUCCACUAUCUUAUGGCCAUUUGUGUGCAGGGUCAAAGCACACAAGUCUUCAGACUUCCAAUAGCAACUGCUACCUGUCCCCAUCACCUCUUUCCCUCUUGCCAUUGGACGUAUGAAGAACUUGUGGUGGUGGUGGUGUUGGUGCAGAACAAACUGCAAAAUGAAUAUUAUGAUUAUAGCUGAAAUGGUUUGUGCAGAGUUUUGAGGUUCCCAGCCACAGGUUGAUUAGUAUGUCAUGGAAUGGAAUUGCCUACAGAAGAAGGCCAUUCACAGACACCACAAUGGACCCAGAGAAGUUGAGGCUCUUCUGCCGCUCAUCUGAGAGAAAAUAACUUGCAAGUCCUUGACACGGUUUAAUCAACUACAUGCUUCAACUAAUUUUUUUGGCCUUGGGCCUAUGUAAGAAGCAAUUAUUAUUAUCAUUAUUAUUAUUAUUAUUGUUAUUAUUAUCAUUAUAAUUAUUUUUAUCAUCAUCAAACAUAAAUACUGAGAGACAGUAACUUUGAAGUCUCCUAGAGAACGCCUAAACUUUGACGUUACAUCCAAACUGUAUUUCAUCUAAUAAAAUAUUUGUCCUUUUAUUUUGUUUUUACAGUGAAUAGCAUCUACUGUUUAUAUUUACUUUAAAAACACCAUCUGAUAUGUGUAUGUGUGUGUGUGUGUAUGCAUGUAUAUGAAUGUAUGCUUUUAUGUCAAGUUGUACAUGAAAACAAUUCAACGUUAAACUGAAGAAUUAAUACUUUUUGGUAGAGUACAUGUUUAUAACAGUUUUACCAGAAAAGGGGGUAGCAGUGAUUUCAAAGUUUUGUCCUAAAAGUGUUCAUCAGACUAUACUACACAUAGGUUUCUUUUGGCUCUGUAUAAGGUUUGGCAAGUGUAGUACAGUCUGAUGAAGGCUAAUAGUCUGAAACUAUGAAGUUGCUGUCACUCCUCUUCGUGUGGAAGUUUUACAUAUAUACAUGUCUGUGUGUGUGUGCGAGUGUACACACACAUAUAUAUAUGAGGGACAGAAAGAAAGAGAGAGAGAGAGAGGAUUUGUGCAGAAGAAAAAGUAUUUAGUAAGAUAGUGGCUUUUAAUAUUUUUAUUUGGGUUUUGUCAGUGUUUCAUUUUUCUGAAUUUUGUCAGUACAUUCACAGUCAUCAGGCAAGUAAAGAUUCAUAACUUACCCAAUGACUUUGCGAGCAUACAGGCAAAACUCCAGGGUUGUAAGGGACAGACUUAACCAAAAUAUGAAUUAAUAUAGGCACAAAUCAUUCAUCCAGACUGAACGGACAAAAUACACUCACACACUCGCACAUGCACACACACACAUAUACAUUUACACAUAUACUUUUAUCUUGAUAUUGAAUACUCUGUUCUUUAAUUUGGACAAGCUGUGCAUCAUUACUAUAUGUAUGUGAAUACAAAUUUGUGCUAGCAUGUGUGUGUAUACAUACAUACAUAUAUACAUACAUUUUCUUCUCAAUGUAUUUAAGCUACAACCACUAACAGUAUACUCUAAUGAAUCUGAAUGAAUGGAACACUGCUUAUGUAAUGAGGUACAUAUUUACAUCACCUGAUGAGAUACUGCUGUACCGGGAUGCACCAAAAUUGAUUGUAUAAUUUCCCAUCCAUGAGGGAGCAAUGCUAGAUGUGUCAAAACAAUCGUUGUGAUCCAGAAAGUCUCCCAUAUAUUUCAUUUCCCAGCUCUAUUGCUUCUGUUAUACAUACAUACACACAUAAGUAACAAACUGGAAGAAUAAAGAGUACUCAAUACUGGAAGGUAGAUAAACAGUUGUUUUUAAUGCAACUUAUGUUAAUAAUCAAGAACCCAAGGUUCCCUGCUGUAUGACAAAAGUCAGCAAAAGUUUUUUGCGUUAUAAUUAAAAUCACAAAUGACAACUCCAUCAUUAUAAUUGAUGAUAGCUGAGUAUCAGCUACUAUUUCAAUUCAUGUUCAAUAAUUCUUGACACUUGUCAGCAUGAAACCUCAGGUUCUGGAACAUCUAAUAUAUAUAUAUAUAUAUAUAUAUAUAUAUGAUACUAUACUAUAUAGUAUUACAAAUCCAUUUCAGCUGAUUUUGCUUAUUAGUUUCAUAUAUGAUUUAGAUGAUAAUCAACACUGCUUGUCAGAAGAGUUGAUGAACAGUAUCUUAAGUCAUUGCCUAACUCAUGUGCAAAACUAAUUUUGAUAAAAUCAACUGAUAUGAACCUUAAUAUGAGUGCCUGUUUUUUCUGACUUAUGGAUUCUUAGAUGACUAAUACAUAUAUAUAUAUAUAUAUAUAUAUAUAUAUAUAUAUAUAUAUAUAUAUAUAUUUCAAAUUAGACUAAAGAGAAUAAAAAAAUUCUUCCCUUAAAAUUCAAGUUUUAUUUUUGCUAAGUCUGCCAUGAUUUUUCUGAAAAGACUCUGUAGUCAAGGCUUCCAUUGUUUAAACUCUCAUCUCUCCGCAAAAUCUUGAUGAGGGUCGGUAAAUUUGUCUAAAUGGUUCUAAUCCCAGAAAAAGUAGAAAAAAAAAACAACAUAAAAACAAAAAGAAUUGUGAGGCAGGAAUGUUUCAUGCUUUUUCUGUGAAUUUUAUUUGUUUAAAUAUUUGUACAGCUUCUGCUAAAAGAGGAAAAACAGUAUUGCGGUAUUUUGCAUCCUUCAUUGUUAUAUAAUUGUUGUUAAUAUUUUCCCCGAAUGUGGACAUUUUUAAUGUCUAGAAUUAAAUGGAAAAUGGUCUGGCAUCAUUUCUGUUGCAAUGCUAUUGGUUAUUUUUUAUUUAUUUAUAUAUUUAUAUUUAUAUCUAUAUCUAUAUCUAUAUAUAUAUAUAUAUACAUAUUUAUUUAUUUAUUCUCAAAAGAGUAUAAUUAAAAAUCAAAAGAAAAUCCAUAAUCAAGGAUAAUGAAUGUCUUGGACUAUUUCCUGUGAAAUUGCUGUUUAAAAUAUGAAAUUUUAUUCUAAUGUUCUCAUGAUGUUUUACAGAAAGAGAGAAAAAAAUUAAAUAAAGCUUGUUUUGAAAUAUUAAAUAACCACAGAUUACA
rnacentral:lncRNA from 1 species